CUAUCUCCUCCAUCUUUGGCCGCAGACUUGGAGAGAAAAAUUCUUGGGCUACUUUCCUCGACUCAACAAACUACAACACUCCAUCUUCAACAAAUAGCUUCAUCUAACAAUCUACCUCCAAUCCUAUAACUGUUAUAUGUUUUAAUGGCUGGUUUCACAGAAUAAGAGAAGAAUGAACCACCUCCAUCUGAUUACCUUUUAUUCUAAUCAUAAUUUUUUUUUUUGUUUGUUUUAAUGCCUGGUUUCACAUAAUAAGAGAAGAAUGAACCACCUCCAUCUGAUUACCUUUCCUUCUAAUCAUAAUUUUUUUUCGUUUGUUUUAAUGGCUGGUUUCACAGAAUAAGAGAAGACUGAACCACCUCCAUCUUAUUACCUUUCCUUCUGGUCAUAAUUUUUUUUUUGUUUUAAUGGCUGGUUUCACAGAAUGAGAGAAGAAUGAACCACCUCCAUCUGAUUACCUUUCAUUCUAAUCAUAAUUUUUUUUUUGUUUGUUUUAAUGGCUAGUUUCACAGAAUAAGAGAAGAAUGAACCACCUCCAUUUGAUUACCUUUCCUUCUAAUCAUAAUUUUUUUUUUGUUUGUUUUCACUUUCUUUAGUCAAAAACUUUAUGCGUCUAUAUUUAUCUCGUUUAUCUGUCAUGGUUUUACUGUCGCGUUAAUGUCCUAUAUUCGGCGAAUUCUUUACUUAGGACGUUUUGCCAGAGCUGUGUAUGCAAGGUCAUGUUUACUCAUGGCUAUUGAGUUUGAUACGCAUUGGAUUAAUUGGGAACAGAGAACCUCAUGUGGGUUUCUCUUGUUUUCAGUUAAAAGCUUUGUUUAAAUCUCAUUUAAAACAUUGAAGUUGGACGAUAAUCGAAAAAUUGACUAGGAAGGAAAAUAUAUAAAUUUGCUUAUAAAAGGUUUUUGAAAUUUUAUUACGAUAUUGCCGAUGGUUGUCUUCUUGUUAUUGUCUCCAGGAGUGGAAUUGGGGAAAACUGAUGUGAAGCUUCUUCAGAGAAGCUGCUGGGAAUACAACUCUGGCCGACUCUCUAGCCAAAUCUUGGGAAGCCGUAUCAGGCCUUGGUCCCUGAAUGCUAAAAAUAACAAGAAAAAAUACUCAGUAAUAAAAAAUGGACCUCCUAUCUGCGCCAAUGAGCCAAGAAAAGGGAAGCAGAUCUGGUUCGGAUCUAAACGGCUCGGAUUUAGUUCUAAAACGAGUCAGACUCGGCUCUAGAACGGCUCAGACUCGAUUCUAAAACGGCUCAAAGUCGGCUUGGCUUGUCUUCUCCGGACAGAUCACUGAACGUGCCCAGAAAAAGCGUCUCCAGAUGGGCUGCUGCAUCUUUUUAUUGGCGCUUGAGGAUGUGCAACUGCAAUUUUUUACCAUCGCUUAUGGUUGUGCGGUUGUAUAUUAUUACCAGCGAUUUCGGAGGUGCGGCUCCACUUUUUACCGACGCCUGCGAAUAUAGAUAGCCAUGUAAAACGUCUUGAUGAAGAUCUCAACAACUUUGCAGAAGAUCUAAAGCAAGAGGGAAAGAUACCUCCAGAUGAACCUGCUAUUCUUCCUAGGUUGCCUAUAGUACCAAGAACUGAAAAGCGCAAGUCCUUUUAUCGAACACCUUAAUCAAAGAAGGUAGAUUAUGGAGACAGAGAAUGAGAUCGAGAGCAUGAUAGGAAUUUUGAGUUAAUGCCUCCUCCAGGAAGCCAUAAAAAGGAUUUUGCUACAUCUGCUGAUGUUGAUCAGCCUAUUGACCCCAAUGAACCUACCUACUGUAUCUGUCAUCAGUUUUUUUGGCGAGACUUUGGUAUGAUACUGAAGUGCCGUAAUGUAAUUUUCAUGACCAUCAAGUGUCAUUUGGAGAUAUGAUUGCCUGUGACAAUGAAAAUUGCCAAGGAGGUGAAUGGUUCCAUUACUCAUGCGUUGGACUGACACCAGAGACAAGAUUUCUGCCAACCUGAAGACUUCUGCCACAAAGUCAAUAAAUUGUGCUUGCCAUCUUGGUACCACAAAGUUUUCAUUGUCAACAGUUCAGCAUCUUCUUCAUACAGAAAGGUAGAAAAGUUGGCAUGACUACUUGGCCGAUAAGGUUGGUAACGGGCAGAAAUCUUAGUCCAAUAUUACGGCGGGAGUUGGCAAUUCUUGAUAAAGAUGCUUGUAGCGCCCGGACCGAAAAAGAAAAAAAAAAAAAAAAGCCACGUCAGCAGACCCGGUCAACAGUCCCGGCCAACCGGGACCUGCCACGUGGCAAAACCACGUCGUUCC